rnacentral:rRNA from 1 species
GACGAACGCUGGCGGCGUGCUUAACACAUGCCAGUCGAACGGAAAGGCCCUGCUUUUGUGGGGUGCUCGAGUGGCGAACGGGUGAGUAACACGUGAGUAACCUGCCCUUGACUUUGGGAUAACUUCAGGAAACUGGGGCUAAUACCGGAUAGGAGCUCCUGCUGCAUGGUGGGGGUUGGAAAGUUUCGGCGGUUGGGGAUGGACUCGCGGCUUAUCAGCUUGUUGGUGGGGUAGUGGCUUACCAAGGCUUUGACGGGUAGCCGGCCUGAGAGGGUGACCGGCCACAUUGGGACUGAGAUACGGCCCAGACUCCUACGGGAGGCAGCAGUGGGGAAUAUUGCACAAUGGGCGGAAGCCUGAUGCAGCAACGCCGCGUGCGGGAUGACGGCCUUCGGGUUGUAAACCGCUUUCGCCUGUGACGAAGCGUGAGGGACGGUAAUGGGUAAAGAAGCACCGGCUAACUACGG